rnacentral:lncRNA from 1 species
AAAAAACCUUCUUCCCCCCAAAGUUUCUCAACACCCCUCGAAACCCUAACCUACCGGCGGCAGCCCUCUCCUCCCAUUCACUAAAAUUUCCCUCCCGUGUUUUUACGCCCUCGACUCAGACCCUUCACCACACCGCCGUCCCCGGCGGACGAACCCCCUCUUGCUUCUCGCUCUUUAAAUCUCACAUAGUAGAUACGUAUAUGCAUGUUCAUCUGAUCAUUACAACUUCGGAGUUUUGAGUGACAUAGUUGUCGGUAAAUUUCCUCUUUAUUUCUUUUGCCGGAAAAUAUCCUUUCAGGCUCUAUUACCACAAAUACUCACGCUUUGUCUUUGUAAGUUAUUAAUAUUAUACCUUAAGAUUCAUAUACUUAUCAUUGAACCUAUAGCCAAUAAUCUUUGGUUCACCUCAUCAAUUGAGCUCUAUACAUGAUAGGGUUUUUAAUUCGAAUAAUAGGUUGCAUGUUUGGCUCAGUCUGUUCUUUUUUUAAUCACGGCGUUGGAUCUGUGGGCAUUAUGUCCUGGUAAGUGGUUUUUAUUAGGUUAACUUCUAGGGUUUAUCUCUCUGUGUGUUUGGUUUUAGUUGUAUUUAAAUUAUACGUUUUUUGUUAAGGAAUAGCUCUAAAGAUUGAUGCAAUGCAGGGUUAGGUUUUUUUAUGUGACAAAGGUUGGGGUCUUUUAUGUACAGUUAAAUAACAACAAUAAUCUAGUUUUAUGGAUUGUGAAUUUGGGGCUUUGCUGACAUGAUUGCUUUGUUCAAUCAUGCACACCACAUGUUUGACAAUAUGUCUAACAGAGAUUCCAUGUAGCCAUGUAGAGUUUUUUUUGUUUGCUUUUGUGUUUAAGUAAUUUGUAACUUUGUUACUUAACUAUUGUUAUGCAUCAGUUUUUCAUGAAACCAAUCAAUUUGUUGAAGUGAGUAAAUAAAAAGUAGAAUUCUUAUCUACUAAAGAAGCAGGUGAGUUGGUUGUUUAUAAUUCAAUUGAAUUGUUAUCUAAUGUUGCUGCUGUCUGUCAUCUAUAUUUUUUAAUUCAAAGUACAGACAUCUGUAUUUGCUUGUGUAGUUGUACUGCAGGUCACAAUCGAAGGGUUUGAAAGAUAUAAAAACAAGUUUGUGGCCGAAGACUUCAGUCUUAAAGUUAACUUUCUUUUUGGUAUGUUGAAAAGAAAAAGGGGCGAAAGCAGUAUUGCUUUUAUGGUUGGAAACCAAGGUUUUGCCUCUUGUUUUUUGGGGUUUUUAUUUUAGACCUAGGCUUAGGCAAGAAGAGGGACGAAUACAGAUGAUAGCAGCGGCGAUGUUGGCUUCCGGCAAUGAGCACACCGGGUUAGACAUUGCACGUUUCUGGUCUGUCCGAUUCCUACAGACCUGAGAACGGUCCAUGACUUUGUUAUGGAAAGAAGAUGAGAAACAUCCGCAAUCAAAAAUUGAAGAAUUAGUCUUAAAAUUAAUGUGGGAAUUGAUUCACAAGGCGUUUAAUGGCCCGGAAUGAAAUCGUUAAAAAUGUCUCAAGGCGGUAUCUACGGAUUGGGAUGCAAGGUUUGACGAGCCCAGUUCGGGUUGCAAGGUGUAUGAAUCGGCUGGUUUGACAAGUUUUUGGGUUGAAAACUUUAUUGGAUUCAUUUAGACUACACACAUAAUCCCAAAGUGUAUUAGCAUUAUUAGUUUCAUAUUUUUAAAGUUCUUUUUGUUAAUGUCACAUUAUGUUUUGGUAGGCGGCAUCUACGGAUUGGGAUGCAAGGUUUGACGAGCCCAGUUCGGGUUGCAAGGUGUAUGAAUCGGCUGGUUUGACAAGUUUUUGGGUUGAAAACUUUAUUGGAUUCAUUUAGAGAACAUGUAUAUUGUGUCAAACUGUAUAAGUUUGUGUUUCGUUUUUUUUUCAUUCGAGAAACAUGUACUUUUCGGAAACGUUUUCAAUAUUAGUUGAAAAUUUGUUGUUGG